rnacentral:rRNA from 1 species
CAGGCCUAACACAUGCAAGUCGAACGAAGCCUUCGGGCUUAGUGGCGCACGGGUGCGUAACGCGUGGGAAUCUGCCCUUGGGUUCGGAAUAACAGUUAGAAAUGACUGCUAAUACCGGAUGAUGACGUAAGUCCAAAGAUUUAUCGCCCAAGGAUGAGCCCGCGUAGGAUUAGCUAGUUGGUGAGGUAAAGGCUCACCAAGGCGACGAUCCUUAGCUGGUCUGAGAGGAUGAUCAGCCACACUGGGACUGAGACACGGCCCAGACUCCUACGGGAGGCAGCAGUGGGGAAUAUUGGACAAUGGGCGAAAGCCUGAUCCAGCAAUGCCGCGUGAGUGAUGAAGGCCCUAGGGUUGUAAAGCUCUUUUACCCGGGAUGAUAAUGACAGUACCGGGAGAAUAAGCUCCGGCUAACUCCGUGCCAGCAGCCGCGGUAAU